rnacentral:rRNA from 1 species
CCUACGGGGAGCUGCAGUGGGGAAUAUUGCACAAUGGGGGAAACCCUGAUGCAGCGACGCCGCGUGAGUGAAGAAGUAUUUCGGUAUGUAAAGCUCUAGCAGCAGGGAAGAAAAUGACGGUACCUGAUUAAGAAGCCCCGGCUAACUACGUGCCAGCAGCCGCGGUAAUACGUCGGGGGCAAGCGUUAUCCGGAUUUACUGGGUGUAAAGGGAGCGUAGACGGCAGCACCAGUCUGGAGUGAACUGCCGGGGCUGAACCCCGGAACUGCUUUGGAAACUGUGCAGCUAGAGUGCAUGAGAGGUCAGUGGAAUUCCUCGUGUCGCGGUCAAAUGCGUAGCUCUUAGGAGGAACACCAGUGGCGAAGGCGGCUUACUGGACUGUAACUGACGUUGAGGCUCGAAAGCGUGGGGAGCAAACCGGAUUCGAUACCCUUGUAGUC